GAAGACAGUAGCUUAAACUGAAUAAAGCAUAACACUGAAAAUGUUAAGACAGUACACCUCUUCUUCA
rnacentral:tRNA from 1 species